rnacentral:rRNA from 1 species
UGGGGAAUUUUGGACAAUGGGCGCAAGCCUGAUCCAGCCAUGCCGCGUGCAGGAUGAAGGCCUUCGGGUUGUAAACUGCUUUUGUACGGAACGAAAAGACUCCUUCUAAUAAAGGGGGUCCAUGACGGUACCGUAAGAAUAAGCACCGGCUAACUACGUGCCAGCAGCCGCGGUAAUACGUAGGGUGCGAGCGUUAAUCGGAAUUACUGGGCGUAAAGCGUGCGCAGGCGGUUAUAUAAGACAGAUGUGAAAUCCCCGGGCUCAACCUGGGAACUGCAUUUGUGACUGUAUAGCUAGAGUACGGUAGAGGGGGAUGGAAUUCCGCGUGUAGCAGUGAAAUGCGUAGAUAUGCGGAGGAACACCGAUGGCGAAGGCAAUCCCCUGGACCUGUACUGACGCUCAUGCACGAAAGCGUGGGGAGCAAACA